GUGCAUGGCCUCGAAUUUUUUCUUUCGUCGGUCGAUGCUUGGGAUCAACGGCCAAGCGGUGCUCCAUGACUUCCGUGUCGAUCCCCGGCAUGUCCACCGGAACCCAAGCGAAGACGUCCGCAUUCUUUCGUAGAAAAUCGAUAAGACGCAUCCGCACCUCUUCCCCCAGGUUGGAGCCGAUCAUCGCCACAUGUUCUGCAUUCCCGUCGUUCAGAGGGAUCGGUACCAGAUCUUCAAUUGGACCGCCCCUCUCUUCAGUGAGGUCGUCGCGAGCAUCCAGCCCAUCAACUGGACAGGGGUCGGAUUGGUCGCUUCU
rnacentral:lncRNA from 1 species